rnacentral:ribozyme from 2 species
UUUUUAACUUCGCCAAUGUAAUGAUUUAUCUUUGCAUUGCCGGUCCCAAGCCCGGAUAAAGGAGGAGGGGUGA